rnacentral:rRNA from 1 species
UAAAUAAUAUAAGAGCAUUUGGUGGAUGCCUUGGUGCUAGAAGGCGACGAAAGACGUGGUAAACUGCGAUAAGCUUCGGGGAGUUGAAACAAGCUUUGAUCCGAAGAUCUCUGAAUGGGGGAACCCACCUGAUUAGUCAGGUAUCUAGUAGUGAAUACAUAGCUACUGGAAGCAAACCCGGCGAACUGAAAUAUCUAAGUAGCCGGAGGAAAGGAAAUCAAACGAGACUCCGUUAGUAGUGACGAGCGAACGCGGACCAGGCCAGUUGUCUUGAGAAAAUAAUUAGAAUAACCUGGAAAGGUUAGCCAUAGAUGGUGAUAGCCCAGUAUAAGUAAAAAGUUCAAGAUACUUGAGUAAGGCGGGACACGUGAAAUCCCGUUUAAAAAUGGGGGGACCACCCUCCAAGCCUAAGUACUCUCUAGCGACCGAUAGUGAACAAGUACCGUAAGGGAAAGGUGAAAAGAACCCCGAACAGGGGAGUGAAAUAGACCUGAAACCGAAUGCUUAUAAACAGUCGGAGCGGCAUAUGCCGUGACGGCGUACCUCUUGUAUAAUGGGUCAGCGACUUAGUUUAUCGAGCAAGCUUAAGCCGUUAGGCGUAGGCAAAGCGAAAGCGAGUCUGAAUAGGGCGAUAAGUUCGAUGAAUUAGACCCGAAACCCGGUGAUCUAGCCAUGACCAGGUUGAAGACUGAGUAACAUCAGUUGGAGGACCGAACUCGUUAAUGUUGAAAAAUUAUGAGAUGAGUUGUGGCUAGGGGUGAAAGGCCAAUCAAACCGGGAGAUAGCUGGUUCUCCGCGAAAUCUAUUUAGGUAGAGCGUUAUGUUAAUUACUUACUGAAGGUAGAGCACUAGAUGGGCUAGGGGGUCCUACAGACUUACCAAACUCAAUUAAACUCCGAAUGUCAGUAAGCGUAUCAUAGCAGACAGACUGCGGGUGCUAAGAUCCGUAGUCGAAAGGGAAACAGCCCAGACCGCCAUCUAAGGUCCCCAAAUCAUAGCUAAGUGUGUAAGGAAGUGAAAAGGCCAAAACAGCUAGGAAGUUGGCUUAGAAGCAGCCAUCUUUUAAAGAAAGCGUAACAGCUCACUAGUCUAAAUAAGCCUUCUUGCGCCGACAAUGUAACGGGGCUAAAGCUAUGUACCGAAGAUGCGGAUUUACAUCAAUAGAUGUAAGUGGUAGCGGAGCGUUCUGUAAGCCGUUGAAGGCAAGUUGUGAAUCUUGCUGGAGGUAUCAGAAGUGAGAAUGCUGACAUGAGUAACGAUUAAGAAUGUGAGAAACAUUCUCGCCGUAUGUCUAAGGUUUCCUGCGUAAAGCUAAUCUGCGCAGGGUUAGCCGGCCCCUAAGGCGAGGCUGAAAAGCGUAGUCGAUGGGAAUCAGGUUAAUAUUCCUGAGCCUGAAGAGUGUGACGAAGUGUGUAAAUUGUAUGUGCUUAAUGGAUUGUACAUGCAGUGAAAUGCUUCCAGGAAAUAGCCUCUUCAAUAUAGACCGUACUAUAAACCGACACAGGUGGACGAGUAGAAUAUACUAAGGCGUUUGAGAAAACGAUGCUGAAGGAACUAGGCAAAUUGCAUCUGUAACUUCGGGAUAAGGAUGACCUUUAUUUAGGCAACUAGAUAAGGGUGGCACAGAAAUGGGGGUAGCAACUGUUUAUUAAAAACACAGGGCUCUGCAAAGUCGUAAGACGAAGUAUAGGGUCUGACGCCUGCCCAAUGCUGGAAGAUUAAAAGGAGGGGUGCAAGCUCUGAAUUGAAGUCCCAGUGAAUGGCGGCCGUAACUAUGACGGUCCUAAGGUAGCGAAAUUCCUUGUCGGGUAAGUUCCGACCCGCACGAAUGGCGUAAUGACUUCCCCGCUGUCUCCAGCAUCGACUCAGUGAAAUUGGAUUCUCCGUGAAGAUACGGAGUUCCCGCGGUUAGACGGAAAGACCCCGUGAACCUUUACUAUAGCUUUGUAUUGGUGUUAGAAAUUAGAUGUGCAGGAUAGGUAGGAGACUAUGAUGCAGUGGCGCUAGCUGCUGCGGAGUCACCCUUGAGAUACUACCCUUUUAAUUUUUGAUAUCUAACCUAGGACCUUGAAUCAGGUCCAGGGACAGUGCAUGGUGGGUAGUUUGACUGGGGCGGUCGCCUCCCAAAGAGUAACGGAGGCGUGCGAAGGUUAGCUCAGGUUGGUCAGAAAUCAACUGUUAGAGUGCAAUGGCAUAAGCUAGCCUGACUGCGAGUCCUACAAGACGAGCAGAGACGAAAGUCGGUCAUAGUGACCCGGUGGUCCCGAGUGGAAGGGCCAUCGCUCAACGGAUAAAAGGUACUCCGGGGAUAACAGGCUGAUGAUCUCCAAGAGCUCAUAUCGACGAGAUCGUUUGGCACCUCGAUGUCGGCUCAUCACAUCCUGGGGCUGAAGAAAGUCCCAAGGGUUCGGCUGUUCGCCGAUUAAAGUGGUACGUGAGCUGGGUUUAGAACGUCGUGAGACAGUUCGGUCCCUAUCUGCCGUGGGUGUAGGAAAUUUGAGAGGACCUGCCUUUAGUACGAGAGGACCAAGGUGGACGUACCUCUGGUGUGCCAGUUGUCGUGCCAGCGGCAUAGCUGGGUAGCUAAGUACGGAAGAGAUAACCGCUGAAUGCAUCUAAGUGGGAAACUCGCCUCAAAAAUAAAUUUCCCUAUCAGAGCCGUAGAAGACCACUACGUUGAUAGGCCAGGUGUGUAAGCGUGGUAACACGUUCAGCUAACUGGUACUAAUAGCUCGAUUGUUUUACUGAU